GAUGAACGCUGGCGGCGUGCCUAAUACAUGCAAGUCGAGCGAAUGGAUUAAGAGCUUGCUCUUAUGAAGUUAGCGGCGGACGGGUGAGUAACACGUGGGUAACCUGCCCAUAAGACUGGGAUAACUCCGGGAAACCGGGGCUAAUACCGGAUAAUAUUUUGAACUGCAUGGUUCAAAAUUGAAAGGCGGCUUCGGCUGUCACCUAUGGAUGGACCCGCGUCGCAUUAGCUAGUUGGUGAGGUAACGGCUCACCAAGGCAACGAGGCGUAGCCGACCUGAGAGGGUGAUCGGCCACACUGGGACUGAGACACGGCCCAGACUCCUACGGGAGGCAGCAGUAGGGAAUCUUCCGCAAUGGACGAAAGUCUGACGGAGCAACGCCGCGUGAGUGAUGAAGGCUUUCGGGUCGUAAAACUCUGUUGUUAGGGAAGAACAAGUGCUAGUUGAAUAAGCUGGCACCUUGACGGUACCUAACCAGAAAGCCACGGCUAACUACGUGCCAGCAGCCGCCGGUAA
rnacentral:rRNA from 1 species